CCUCCUUUUCUGGGCAUACAUGAGCUGAGCAGUACUCCUGUGAGUUAUGUUCAGAGGAAGAGUAUUUUCAGUGUUAUGUCUUUGGUGCCAGUAAGCUAAAAUCUUCCGGUUCUAUCCUCAGUCACUGAGACAACA